UGCAGUCGACGAUGAAGCCUUUCGGGGUGGAUUAGUGGCGAACGGGUGAGUAACACGUGGGCAAUCUGCCCUUCACUCUGGGACAAGCCCUGGAAACGGGGUCUAAUACCGGAUAACACUCUGUCCCGCAUGGGACGGGGUUAAAAGCUCCGGCGGUGAAGGAUGAGCCCGCGGCCUAUCAGCUUGUUGGUGGGGUGAUGGCCUACCAAGGCGACGACGGGUAGCCGGCCUGAGAGGGCGACCGGCCACACUGGGACUGAGACACGGCCCAGACUCCUACGGGAGGCAGCAGUGGGGAAUAUUGCACAAUGGGCGAAAGCCUGAUGCAGCGACGCCGCGUGAGGGAUGACGGCCUUCGGGUUGUAAACCUCUUUCAGCAGGGAAGAAGCGAGAGUGACGGUACCUGCAGAAGAAGCGCCGGCUAACUACGUGCCAGCAGCCGCGGUAAUACGUAGGGCGCAAGCGUUGUCCGGAAUUAUUGGGCGUAAAGAGCUCGUAGGCGGCUUGUUGCGUCGGUUGUGAAAGCCCGGGGCUUAACCCCGGGUCUGCAGUCGAUACGGGCAGGCUAGAGUGUGGUAGGGGAGAUCGGAAUUCCUGGUGUAGCGGUGAAAUGCGCAGAUAUCAGGAGGAACACCGGUGGCGAAGGCGGAUCUCUGGGCCAUUACUGACGCUGAGGAGCGAAAGCGUGGGGAGCGAACAGGAUUAGAUACCCUGGUAGUCCACGCCGUAAACGUUGGGAACUAGGUGUUGGCGACAUUCCACGUCGUCGGUGCCGCAGCUAACGCAUUAAGUUCCCCGCCUGGGAGUACGGCCGCAAGGCUAAACUC
rnacentral:rRNA from 1 species